UAUGGGAGAUGCCAGUGCCAUGGGAUGACCACCAAGGACAGUAGCUGUCCUGGAAUGGAGCUAGGCUGAGCCUAGAAGACAAGCUGUGUGCUGCAGAGGUGGAGAGAGAAGUGGUCCAUUCCUUAGAGGAGCCCGGAAGACUGUGAGCAGAUCCCAAGCACUGGGCCCGGCUUAUUUAUGCUAUCAGACUUUGGAUUUGCUUUGUUCAGGAAUCUAACUUGAGGAAGUAAUUGGAGAUGCUUUCAAAGAUGUUUUAAGCAAGUUUUAUUGAGACAUUAUGUGUAACAGUAAAAGCAAUGAGUGUCCAGCCUGAGAAGACACAAGGUUAAGGUUCCAGAGCUCUGCCCAAAGUUUGGCUGUGAGUCUCUGCAUCUGCUCUAUCUCGUGAUGUUUAUCCACACUCCAUCAGAACGGC